rnacentral:rRNA from 1 species
UACGAAGGGGGCUAGCGUUGUUCGGAAUUACUGGGCGUAAAGCGCACGUAGGCGGCUUUGUAAGUAAGAGGUGAAAGCCCAGAGCUCAACUCUGGAAUUGCCUUUUAGACUGCAUCGCUUGAAUCAUGGAGAGGUCAGUGGAAUUCCGAGUGUAGAGGUGAAAUUCGUAGAUAUUCGCAGGAACACCAGUGGCGAAGGCGGCUUACUGGUCCAUAACUGACGCUGAGGUGCGAAAGCGUGGGGAGCAAACAGG